GACGAACGCUGGCGGCGUGCUUCACACAUGCAAGUCGAACGAGGUCCAACCGGUGGCAACACUGGUGAAGACCUAGUGGCGAACGGGUGCGUAACACGUGAGCAACCUGCCCCGAAGACUGGGAUAACAGCGGGAAACCGCUGCUAAUACCAGAUGCCCCCACCGGGCUGCAUGGUCUGGUGAGGAAAUGGAUUCCGCUUCGGGAGGGGCUCGCGGCCUAUCAGCUAGUUGGUGAGGUAAUAGCUCACCAAGGCAUCGACGGGUAGCUGGUCUGAGAGGACGAUCAGCCACACUGGGACUGAGGCACGGCCCAGACUCCUACGGGAGGCAGCAGUGGGGAAUCUUGCGCAAUGGGCGAAAGCCUGACGCAGCAACGCCGCGUGGGGGAUGAGGGCCUUCGGGUUGUAAACUCCUUUUAGUGGGAACGAAACUGACGGUACCCACAGAAAAAGCCCCGGCUAACUACGUGCCAGCAGCCGCGGUGAUACGUAGGGGGCGAGCGUUGUCCGGAUUCACUGGGCGUAAAGAGCUCGUAGGCGGCUUUGUAAGUCGGGUGUUAAACCUCCAGGCUCAACCUGGAGCCAUCACUCGAUACUGCGAUGGCUAGAGUCCGGUAGGGGACCAUGGAAUUCCUGGUGUAGCGGUGAAAUGCGCAGAUAUCAGGAGGAACACCAGUAGCGAAGGCGGUGGUCUGGGCCGGUACUGACGCUGAGGAGCGAAAGCGUGGGGAGCGAACAGGAUUAGAUACCCUGGUAGUCCACGCCGUAAACGUUGGGCACUAGGUGUGGGGCUCUAUCGACGGGUUCCGUGCCGCAGCUAACGCAUUAAGUGCCCCGCCUGGGGAGUACGGCCGCAAGGCUAAAACUCAAAGGAAUUGACGGGGGCCCGCACAAGCGGCGGAGCAUGUGGCUUAAUUCGAAGCAACGCGAAGAACCUUACCUGGGCUUGACAUGUGGGUUAAGGCGUGGAGACACGCUGACCUUCGGGUCCCACACAGGUGGCGCAUGGC
rnacentral:rRNA from 1 species